GAUGAACGCUGGCGGCGUGCCUAAUACAUGCAAGUCGAGCGAACGGACGAGAAGCUUGCUUCUCUGAUGUUAGCGGCGGACGGGUGAGUAACACGUGUAUAACCUACCUAUAAGACUGGGAUAACUUCGGGAAACCGGAGCUAAUACCGGAUAAUAUUUUGAACCGCAUGGUUCAAAAGUGAAAGACGGUCUUGCUGUCACUUAUAGAUGGAUCCGCGCUGCAUUAGAUAGUUGGUAAGGUAACGGCUUACCAAGGCAACGAUGCAUAGCCGACCUGAGAGGGUGAUCGGCCACACUGGAACGGAGACACGGUCCAGACUCCUACGGGAGGCAGCAGUAGGGAAUCUGCCGCAAUGGGCGAAAGCCUGACGGAGCAACGCCGAGUGAGUGAUGAAGGUCUUCGGAUCGUAAAACUCUGUUAUUAGGGAAGAACAUAUGUGUAAGUAACUGUGCACAUCUUGACGGUACCUAAUCAGAAAGCCACGGCUAACUACGUG
rnacentral:rRNA from 1 species